GACGAACGCUGGCGGCGUGCUUAACACAUGCAAGUCGAGCGAUGAAGUUCCUUCGGGAACGGAUUAGCGGCGGACGGGUGAGUAACACGUGGGUAACCUGCCUCAUAGAGGGGAAUAGCCUUCCGAAAGGAAGAUUAAUACCGCAUAAGAUUGUAGUACCGCAUGGUACAGCAAUUAAAGGAGUAAUCCGCUAUGAGAUGGACCCGCGUCGCAUUAGCUAGUUGGUGAGGUAACGGCUCACCAAGGCGACGAUGCGUAGCCGACCUGAGAGGGUGAUCGGCCACAUUGGGACUGAGACACGGCCCAGACUCCUACGGGAGGCAGCAGUGGGGAAUAUUGCACAAUGGGGGAAACCCUGAUGCAGCAACGCCGCGUGAGUGAUGACGGUCUUCGGAUUGUAAAGCUCUGUCUUCAGGGACGAUAAUGACGGUACCUGAGGAGGAAGCCACGGCUAACUACGUGCCAGCAGCCGCCGUAACAC
rnacentral:rRNA from 1 species